AUCGAACGCUGGCGGCAGGCUUAACACAUGCAAGUCGAGCGGAGCGAGGGUGCUUGCACCUUAGCUUAGCGGCGGACGGGGGAGUAAUGCUUAGGAAUCUGCCUAUUAGUGGGGGACAACAUUCCGAAAGGAAUGCUAAUACCGCAUACGCCCUACGGGGGAAAGCAGGGGAUCUUCGGACCUGGCGCUUAUAGAUGAGCCUAAGUCGGAUUAGCUAGUUGGUGGGGUAAAGGCCUACCAAGGCGACGAUCUGUAGCGGGUCUGCGAGGAUGAUCCGCCACACUGGGACUGAGACACGGCCCAGACUCCUACGGGAGGCAGGAGUGGGGAAUAUUGGACAAUGGGGGGAAGCCUGAUCCAGCCAUGCCGCGUGUGUGAAGAAGGCCUUUUGGUUGUAAAGCACUUUAAGCGAGGAGGAGGCUACUUAGAUUAAUACUCUGGGAUAGUGGACGUUACUCGCAGAAUAAGCACCGGCUAACUCUGUGCCAGCCGCCGCAGUAA
rnacentral:rRNA from 1 species